CAGUAGCCGCGGUAAUACAGAGGCCUCAAGCGUUGUUCGGAUUCAUUGGGCGUAAAGGGUGCGUAGGUGGCGAUGUAAGUUCGGUGUGAAAUUUCAGGGCUCAACCUUGAAACUGCAUUGAAUACUGCAUUGCUUGAGGAUUGUAGAGGAGAGUGGAAUUCACGGUGUAGCAGUGAAAUGCGUAGAUAUCGUGAGGAAGACCAGUUGCGAAGGCGACUCUCUGGGCAAUUCCUGACACUGAGGCACGAAGGCCAGGGGAGCAAACGGGAUUAGAUACCCCAGUAGUCCCUGUCUCUUAUAC
rnacentral:rRNA from 1 species